rnacentral:rRNA from 1 species
GGCCGCGGUAUCCUAACCGUGCGAAGGUAGCGUAAUCACUUGUUCUUUAAAUGGGGACUAGUAUGAAUGGCAUCACGAGGGUUAAACUGUCUCCUUUUUCUAAUCAGUGAAACUAAUCUCCCCGUGAAGAAGCGGGGAUUAUUUUAUAAGACGAGAAGACCCUAUGGAGCUUUAAACAAAUUUACACCUGCUUUAAUAUAUUUUACCUCCUGAAUACUCACACAAAUAAUAGCAUGACUGUUAAAUAGUUUUCGAUUGGGGUGAUCAUGGAGAAAAAAAUAACCUCCACGACGAUAAGGGAAUAUCCCUGAGCCAAAAGCCACAACUUUAAGCACUAAAAAAUUAACGCACUUUGACCCAAUUACUUGAGCAACGAACCAAGUUACCCUAGGGAUAACAGCGCAAUCCACUUCAAGAGCUCCUAUCGACAAGUGGGCUUACGACCUCGAUGUUGGAUCA